UGUUAAAAAUUUCAUCCAUUUUUACUGUUAAAAACUGAUGCAGCUGACGAAAUAACCAAUCAGUUACACAUGGCGUACCGCAUGUAUCUUAUGCUAACAUCUAAGACCAAUUUUUAACAGUAAAUUUAGAUGAAAUUAUUAACA
rfam:Gossypium hirsutum cultivar TM-1 chromosome 20, whole genome shotgun sequence